AGUUUUGCGCAGUGGCAGUAUCGUAGCCAAUGAGGUUUAUCCGAGGCGCGAUUAUUGCUAAUUGAAAAAAGGGAACUAGGCACCCAGCUCGAGUUGGACUGCCAGAAUUUGAGCCUUUACUUUCCCCCCUGUGACUAUGGGC